CACGUAGGGGGCGAGCGUUGUCCGGAUUUAUUGGGCGUAAAGAGCUCGUAGGCGGUUUCGUAAGUCGGAUGUGAAAACUCCAGGCUCAACUUGGAGACGCCAUUCGAUACUGCGAUGACUUGAGUCCGGUAGGGGAGUGUGGAAUUCCUGGUGUAGCGGUGAAAUGCGCAGAUAUCAGGAGGAACACCGGCGGCGAAGGCGGCACUCUGGGCCGGUACUGACGCUGAGGAGUGAAAGCGUGGGUAGCAAACAGG
rnacentral:rRNA from 1 species